AUUGAACGCUGGCGGAAUGCUUUACACAUGCAAGUCGAACGGCAGCACGGGAGCUUGCUCCUGGUGGCGAGUGGCGAACGGGUGAGUAACAUAUCGGAACGUAUCCAAUAAUGGGGGAUAACUAAGCGAAAGCUUGGCUAAUACCGCAUACGCCCUGAGGGGGAAAGCUAGGGAUAUUCGGACCUGGCGUUAACGGAGCGGCCGAUAUCUGAUUAGCUAGUUGGUGAGGUAAAAGCUCACCAAGGCGACGAUCAGUAGCUGGUCUGAGAGGACGACCAGCCACACUGGAACUGAGACACGGUCCAGACUCCUACGGGAGGCAGCAGUGGGGAAUUUUGGACAAUGGGCGCAAGCCUGAUCCAGCCAUUCCGCGUGAGUGAAGAAGGCCUUCGGGUUGUAAAGCUCUUUCGCAAGGGAAGAAAGAUUACGCUCUAACAUAGCGUGAUUAUGACGGUACCUUGAUAAGAAGCACCGGCUAACUACGUGCCAGCAGCCGCGGUAAAAC
rnacentral:rRNA from 1 species